rnacentral:rRNA from 1 species
AGAGUUUGAUUCUGGCUCAGGAUGAACGCUAGCGGCAGGCCUAACACAUGCAAGUCGAGGGGCGGCGGGAUUGAAGCUUGCUUCAAUCGCCGGCGACCGGCGCACGGGUGCGUAACGCGUAUGCAACCUACCCAGAACAGGGGGAUAACACUGAGAAAUUGGUACUAAUAUCCCAUAACAUCAUAAGGGGCAUCCCUUUUGGUUGAAAACUCCGGUGGUUCUGGAUGGGCAUGCGUUGUAUUAGCUGGUUGGUGAGGUAACGGCUCACCAAGGCAACGAUACAUAGGGGGACUGAGAGGUUAACCCCCCACAUUGGUACUGAGACACGGACCAA